AUUGAACGCUAGCGGGAUGCUUAACACAUGCAAGUCGAACGAGUGGCGGACGGGUGAGUAAUGUCUCGGAACGUGCCUGGUAGAGGGGGAUAACUACUCGAAAGAGUAGCUAAUACCGCAUACCAUCGGAGCGGCCGAUAUGGGAUUAGCUAGUUGGUGGGGUAAAGGCUCACCAAGGCAACGAUCCGUAGCUGGUCUGAGAGGAUGACCAGCCACACUGGGACUGAGACACGGCCCAGACUCCUACGGGAGGCAGCAGUGGGGAAUUGUGGACAAUGGGGGAAACCCUGAUCCAGCCAUCCCGCGUGUAUGAGAAGGCCUUCGGGUUGUAAAGUACUUUUGGCAGAGAAGCGGUAUCUGCAGAAUAAGCACCGGCUAACUACGUGCCAGCAGCCGCGGUAAUAC
rnacentral:rRNA from 1 species